UACGAAGGGUGCAAGCGUUGCUCGGAAUUAUUGGGCGUAAAGGGUAGGUAGGUGGUUACGUAUGUCUGGGGUGAAAUCCCUGAGCUCAACUCAGGAAGUGCCUUGGAAACGGCGUAACUAGAGUGCUAGAGAGGUUCGUAGAAUUCCCAGUGUAGCGGUGAAAUUCGUAGAUAUUCGGAAGAACACCAGUGGCGAAGGCGGCUGACUGGUCCGGUUCUGACGCUGAGGCGCGAAAGCGUGGGGAGCAAACAGG
rnacentral:rRNA from 1 species